CUGAGUUGAAUGGGGAGGGUUUGUAACAGAGUCCUCCCUUUUUUCUCUUCACCCUUUGUUAUUAUUUGUACAAGUUGCUUUGGUGGUUGGGUUACCACCCUUCUGCCAGACGGCUUUUUCAAACACUGUUAUCUAACAAUCAAGAUAUGUUUUGUCUAAUUUUUACGACUUGAAUAAGUAUGUA
rnacentral:misc_RNA from 1 species